AGAGAAAUUAUUUUUAUAAUGUAAAAUUAAAUUGAAAUUAUUGUUGUAACAUUUUGAAAAACGAAUAUUGUUACAUGUUCCUCGUAAAUUGUCUCCUCUCAACUUCCCCCUCCCCUCCCCUCUCCCUCUCCCUCUCCCCCUCCUCUCCUCCCUCUUUUAAUCAGGAUGAGGAUAAACCCCGUUUGGCUUCUUCUUUCACACAUAUUAUACACAAUAACACCAGCAUGAUUCACGAGAGGAGGAAUGAAGAUACAAAUGAUUGGACGAUCUCUCAACAUCUCAAUGAAAGAGAAAGAGAAUGAGAAAGAGAAAGAGAGAACACGAAAAUCGUGAAAAAAAAAAAAACAAACAUUCGUCGUUGAAUACUCCGACCUGUCAUUGGUACGUCACCCUAAGUGCACGUAAUUCCAAUAAUUAUUAUAGUUAUUAUUAUAAUUAUUACGUCAUCGUCAUCAACAUUAGUAUAUUUAUCAAAUUCGAUAAAUAGAAAGAAGAAAUAUUUGUUCACAUGAUUAAACGCACACUUCUAUCCGA